rnacentral:rRNA from 1 species
UACGGAGGGGGCAAGCGUUGUUCGGAAUUACUGGGCGUAAAGCGCGUGUAGGCGGCCCUGCAAGUCGGGUGUGAAAGCCCGAGGCUCAACCUCGGAACUGCCUUCGAUACUGCGGGGCUCGAGUCCGGGAGAGGAGAGUGGAAUUCCUGGUGUAGAGGUGAAAUUCGUAGAUAUCAGGAAGAACACCGGUGGCGAAGGCGGCUCUCUGGCCCGGUACUGACGCUGAGACGCGAAAGCGUGGGGAGCAAACAGG